CGCGUAAAAGGAUGAGAUAUUAUCAUACAGUUAUCCCUGUCUGAACCCCAUUGUUGAGAACUUGUACUCUGAAAACGCU
rnacentral:snoRNA from 1 species